CAUGCAGUCGACGGCAGCAUACGAGCUUGCUCCUGAUGGCGAGUGGCGAACGGGUGAGUAAUAUAUCGGAACGUGCCCUAGAGUGGGGGAUAACUAGUCGAAAGACUAGCUAAUACCGCAUACGAUCUACGGAUGAAAGUGGGGGAUCGCAAGACCUCAUGCUCCUGGAGCGGCCGAUAUCUGAUUAGCUAGUUGGUGGGGUAAAAGCCUACCAAGGCAACGAUCAGUAGCUGGUCUGAGAGGACGACCAGCCACACUGGGACUGAGACACGGCCCAGACUCCUACGGGAGGCAGCAGUGGGGAAUUUUGGACAAUGGGGGCAACCCUGAUCCACCAAUGCCGCGUGAGUGAAGAAGGCCUUCGGGUUGUAAAGCUCUUUUGUCAGGGAAGAAACGGUAGUAGCGAAUAACUAUUACUAAUGACGGUACCUGAAGAAUAAGCACCGGCUAACUACGUGCCAGCAGCCGCGGUAAUACGUAGGGUGCAAGCGUUAAUCGGAAUUACUGGGCGUAAAGCGUGCGCAGGCGGUUGUGUAAGUCAGAUGUGAAAUCCCCGGGCUCAACCUGGGAAUUGCAUUUGAGACUGCACGGCUAUAGUGUGUCAGAGGGGGGUAGAAUUCCACGUGUAGCAAUGAAAUGCGUAGAUAUGUGGAGGAAUACCGAUGGCGAACGCAGCCCCCUGGGAUAACACUGACGCUCAU
rnacentral:rRNA from 1 species